rnacentral:rRNA from 1 species
UACGUAGGGUGCGAGCGUUAAUCGGAAUUACUGGGCGUAAAGCGUGCGCAGGCGGUUUUGUAAGCCCGAUGUGAAAUCCCCGGGCUUAACCUGGGAAUGGCAUUUGGGACUGCAAGGCUUGAGUUUGGCAGAGGAGACUGGAAUUCACGGUGUAGCAGUGAAAUGCGUAGAUAUCGUGAGGAAGACCAGUGGCGAAGGCGGGUCUCUGGACAGUUCCUGACACUGAGGCACGAAGGCCAGGGGAGCAAACGGG